rnacentral:tRNA from 1 species
GCACCCCUAGUUUAGUGGUAGAACACUAGCUUCCCAAGCUGGAUAUACGGGUUCGAUUCCCGCGGGGUGCUCCA